rnacentral:rRNA from 1 species
ACGCUGGCGGCGUGCCUAAUACAUGCAAGUAGAACGCUGAAGGAGGAGCUUGCUCUCUGGAUGAGUUGCGAACGGGUGAGUAACGCGUAGGUAACCUGCCUGGUAGCGGGGGAUAACUAUUGGAAACGAUAGCUAAUACCACAUAAUAGUAGAUGUUGCAUGACAUUUGCUUGAAAGGUGCAAUUGCAUCACUACCAGAUGGACCUGCGUUGUAUUAGCUAGUUGGUGGGGUAACGGCUCACCAAGGCGACGAUACAUAGCCGACCUGAGAGGGUGAUCGGCCACACUGGGACUGAGACACGGCCCAGACUCCUACGGGAGGCAGCAGUAGGGAAUCUUCGGCAAUGGACGGAAGUCUGACCGAGCAACGCCGCGUGAGUGAAGAAGGUUUUCGGAUCGUAAAGCUCUGUAGUAAGAGAAGAACGAGUGUGAGAGUGGAAAGUUCAUACUGUGACGGUAUCUUACCAGAAAGGGACGGCUAACUACGUGCCAGCAGCCGCGGUAAUACGUAGGUCCCGAGCGUUGUCCGGAUUUAUUGGGCGUAAAGCGAGCGCAGGCGGUUAGAUAAGUCUGAAGUUAAAGGCUGUGGCUUAACCAUAGUACGCUUUGGAAACUGUUUAACUUGAGUGCAAGAGGGGAGAGUGGAAUUCCAUGUGUAGCGGUGAAAUGCGUAGAUAUAUGGAGGAACACCGGUGGCGAAAGCGGCUCUCUGGCUUGUAACUGACGCUGAGGCUCGAAAGCGUGGGGAGCAAACAGGAUUAGAUACCCUGGUAGUCCACGCCGUAAACGAUGAGUGCUAGGUGUUAGACCCUUUCCGGGGUUUAGUGCCGCAGCUAACGCAUUAAGCACUCCGCCUGGGGAGUACGACCGCAAGGUUGAAACUCAAAGGAAUUGACGGGGGGCCCGCACAA